CAGGUACCGGUUCACGUCAGCAUUCGCUGGCGACCCGGCGACC
rnacentral:ncRNA from 1 species